rnacentral:rRNA from 1 species
GAUCCUGGCUCAGGGUGAACGCUGGCGGCGUGCCUAACACAUGCAAGUCGAACGGAACUAUUUUGGAAACUCCUUCGGGAGUGGAAUCUUUAGUUUAGUGGCGGACGGGUGAGUAACGCGUGAGCAAUCUGCCUUUAAGAGGGGGAUAACAGUCGGAAACGGCUGCUAAUACCGCAUAAAGCAUCAAAUUCGCAUGUUUUUGAUGCCAAAGGAGCAAUCCGCUUUUAGAUGAGCUCGCGU